CUUAUUAGUAGUAUUUGAUUGCAUUCAAUUUUUCUAAACAAUUAAUUAAUUAAUUAAUAAAUACUCCCUUCAAAAUAUUUUGUCUCACUAUAAACGGCAACGCAACACCGAUUGGAGUUGGGAGGAGUAGAUCGCGAACACAUCACACAUGGCGCGUGGACGGAGGAUCAGUUUCUUUAACGUCAAAGUAAAAUAAUCAGAUGGUGGGGAUUGUG
rnacentral:lncRNA from 1 species